rnacentral:lncRNA from 1 species
GCAAAAUUUAAAACCAAAAAGAAUAUUAUGAAUUCUGAUCUUCUAAAACAUUAUAGUGUUAAGUUUUGAAAGAAAAAAAAUAUUUGAUUGAUGGAGGCGGACAAUAAAUGUUCGCGCUCAGACAAGAAAACCAUACCCCUUUGAAGUUAAAUGAUUAAAUUACUUCCUUGUUGAUGGAUUGUUUCCUGGCUUGCUUUGGUAGAGUAUUGUUGCAUGUUUCACACUCGAGUAAUAUAUAUACGCAUGUGUAGUACAUGAAAUAUGAAGACACCGGUGUACUACUAUAAUAGUACUUGACUUGUAAUAGUGAGCAUGUAUGAGAAAAAAAGAGUGAGCUACCGUAUACGGUAAAAAUUAAUAUAAGGGAACUUUGAUAUCCUUGAAUCUGUUUCUGAGUUGUGAAGAACUAACAAAAGAACUAACAGUGGGACGGUUAUUCAAGUAAAAUACUAUAAUACAAUCGAGUCUUUAUGUGAUAAACUAUAAUAAAAUUGAGUCUAAUGUAAAACUUUUAAAUAAGUAAAGACUCUUAAUGUCUUGCAAAUUUUCGACUGAAGGUAAACUAUUAAGAAAAGAAAAAGAUAUAAAUAGUAAAUUCAAAUCGUAUGAAUCGUAUGAAUAAUAUUGGCGAACAAAAAAAGUAUCACAUUAUGUCGUCUGACAAUUGUAAGAUGCUAUAAGAUAGACUAAAAAUGUAUCGAAAAUAUAGCACAAAAGAAAUCAUGAAAUAACUCAGUGCAAUCCCAAUUUAAGAUGCAAACACAUGAAAAGAAAAACAAAAUCACACCAUAUCUCCACAUGACACAAAACAAAAACCAACUGCAAUCAACAAAUAAGACGCAAAGAGUCACAAAAAAUUAAAAAAAUCCAUUCGCGGGCAACUACCGACUUAUUAUACUGUAUGAUCGAA